CGUACACUCCUGCGGGAGGCAGCAGUGGGGAAUUUUGGACAAUGGGCGAAAGCCUGAUCCAGCCAUGCCGCGUGCAGGAUGAAGGCCUUCGGGUUGUAAACUGCUUUUGUACGGAACGAAACGGCCUUUUCUAAUAAAGAGGGCUAAUGACGGUACCGUAAGAAUAAGCACCGGCUAACUACGUGCCAGCAGCCGCGGUAAUACGUAGGGUGCAAGCGUUAAUCGGAAUUACUGGGCGUAAAGCGUGCGCAGGCGGUUAUGUAAGACAGUUGUGAAAUCCCCGGGCUCAACCUGGGAACUGCAUCUGUGACUGCAUAGCUAGAGUACGGUAGAGGGGGAUGGAAUUCCGCGUGUAGCAGUGAAAUGCGUAGAUAUGCGGAGGAACACCGAUGGCGAAGGCAAUCCCCUGGACCUGUACUGACGCUCAUGCACGAAAGCGUGGGGAGCAAACAGGAUUAGAAACCCCGGUAGUCC
rnacentral:rRNA from 1 species